GACCUCGGAUCAGGUAGGGAUACCCGCUGAACUUAAGCAUAUCAAUAAGCGGAGG
rnacentral:rRNA from 6 species